CAGCACCUCAAGUGGUCAGGAUGAUUAUUGGGCCUAAAGCAUCCGUAGCCGGCGCUGUAAGUUUUCGGUUAAAUCUGUACGCUCAACGUACAGGCUGCCGGGAAUACUGCAGCGCUAGGGAGUGGGAGAGGUAGACGGUACUCGGUAGGAAGGGGUAAAAUCCUUUGAUCUAUUGAUGACCACCUGUGGCGAAGGCGGUCCACCAGAACACGUCCGACGGUGAGGGAUGAAAGCUGGGGGAGCAAACCGGAUUAGAUACCCGGGUAGUCC
rnacentral:rRNA from 1 species